CAAUAGCGUAUAUUUAAGUUGUUGCAGUUAAAAAGCUCGUAGUUGGAUUUCGGUUAAGAGCGACCGGUCCGCCGUUUGGUGUGCACUGGUUGGUUUUAACUUCCUGUAGAGGACGUGCUCUGGGUUUAACGACCUGGACUCGGAGUCUACGUGGUUACUUUGAAAAAAUUAGAGUGUUCAAAGCGGGCUUACGCUUGAAUAUUUCAGCAUGGAAUAACACUAUAGGACUCCUGUCCUAUUUCGUUGGUCUCGGGACGGGAGUAAUGAUUAAGAGGAACAGUUGGGGGCAUUCGUAUUUCAUUGUCAGAGGUGAAAUUCUUGGAUUUAUGAAAGACGAACUUCUGCGAAAGCAAUUGCCAAGGAUGUUUUCAUUAA
rnacentral:rRNA from 1 species